UACGGAGGGUGCGAGCGUUAAUCGGAAUUACUGGGCGUAAAGGGUGCGUAGGUGGUUUAUUAAGUUAUCUGUGAAAUUCCUGGGCUUAACCUGGGCGUGUCAGAUGAUACUGGUAGACUUGAGUAUGGGAGAGGGUAGUGGAAUUUCCGGUGUAGCGGUGAAAUGCGUAGAGAUCGGAAGGAACACCAGUGGCGAAGGCGGCUACCUGGCCUAAUACUGACACUGAGGCACGAAAGCGUGGGGAGCAAAC
rnacentral:rRNA from 1 species